CCAGGACGAAGGGGAGGAGGACGCCAUGUCAGAACCCUGCUACUAGAGCCUGGAUGUGGCUCUGAGUUUCAGGGUCACUGACAUUGAUAAGACACCUGCGUCCCAGGACUCGGAGGAGAAACGGCUGAUGGACUUGGCGGGGAAUUUGCGCGGGGUUUUACUGAGCGGGAAGAGACUGUUCAAAUGAGGGGGAGGGUAUAUAAAGGAGGGUUGGCCGGAGCCUCCCAUUCUUGGCUUUUCUGAUGUUCAUGUUUCCUACAGUAAAAGUUCCUGGUGAUACCACAAAGAGUCUCGUGUGUUCAUUCAGGAGCGGCUGUGGUGAGCUGACAGUUGGGCAUGGGCAGGAUGAUUGGGACUCUGAUGAGGAAUUCGGAACACCUGACCCAAGGGCAUUGGCUGUGUGGAGUUCUGAUUCAGAUUAAAAAGUUGAGACACCUGCUCUUUGGGCGUGGAUAGUUUGGAAGCCCAGGGAGACCUGGAUAUAUUGGGGUUGUUUGGCCAUGAUACCUUGCGUGUGGCAAGGUGUUGCUGGGCGCCAUUGGGUUUCUUGUGUGUGUUACUGAAGACUGGGCUGGGACUUUGCAAUGGUUGUAAGUUUAAUCUGGGUUAUUCUGCAAUGGAGGGCUGGAAUUGUGUGGGUUUUUCUGUCACGACCCAGGCUGCAGAGCACCAAUAACCAUACACAGAGGCCAGAAUCUAUCUAAUAUCUUUAUUAAGGAAAUAUAUAAAGUUAAUAAAAACAAGUAUAGGAAAUAGUCCAGAAGUAGACCUUUCAGGAAAGGUCAAGAUUAGUCCAAAGAAGCAAUGUCCAAUAUGAAAUAUUAAGGUCCAAAGUUGUAAUCCAAUAACCGAAACACUCACUUGCCAAGCAAGUGAGGGGAGAUGACAAGGUCCUUUAGUCCAUGAACUUGAGCAAGGCUGGGAAAUAACUUGAUUCUUGGAACACAAAGCUUGAUUCAAGGCAACAAGGAAACGAGGAGCAAGAACAAGAUCCGUGGCAAUUACUUGGCGAGGUCCGGGAAAACAAGGCAAGAUCCGGGGAGAAAACAAGGCUGAGAACGAAGGCUUGGAACAGGAACAAAGGCUUGAGAGCAGGAGUAGCUGUCCACACACGCUGCUCCGGUAGCUGACGAAUUGACUCCGCAAGAUUCCUUCGGGAGUAAGGAACCUAAAUAGGCCUCGUUUUCCCACCAGAGAACACUUCUCUGGGGAAUCAGAAACGAAAGUCAAUCUCUGUGUCCAGAUGUAUGACUCCCUAAAAUUUCUCAUGG
rnacentral:lncRNA from 1 species